GGACAUGGAUAAACAUGUUGGGUUCUUUUCAACUUUGGGCUAUUUUAAAUAAUGUUUCUGUGAAAAUUAUUGUACAAUUUUUUGUGUGGACAUAUAUUUCCAUUUUUUCUUUGCUAGAUACACCAGAAAGGAAAUGCUAGGUCACAUUUUAACCAUGUUAAAUUAUAAUCAACAUGUAACCUUUUGAGGGACUGUCUGUUUUAUACAGUGGAUAUACCGUUUUGCAUUUCCACAAUGGGAAAUUGAACUUUCCAGUUUCUCCACAUUCUUGCUAAUAAGCUGAUUCUUUUUUUUUUUUUUUUUUUAGAUGGACUCUCGCUCCUUCACCCAGGCUGGAGUGCAGUGGCGUGAUCUUGGCUCACUGCGGGCUCUGCCCCCCAGGGUUCACGCCAUUCUCCUGCAUCAGCACCCCGCGUAGCUUGGACUACAGGUGCCCGCCACCUCGCCUGGCUAAUUUUUUGUAUUUUUAGUAGAGACGGGGUUUUACCUUGUUAGACAGGAUGGUCUCGAUCUCCUGACCUCGUGAUCCACCCGCCUCAGCCUCCCAAAGUGCUGGGAUUACAGGCAUGAGCCACUGCGCCCGGCCAAUAAGCUGAUUCUUAAUGGAGAUGACAGGAACCUAGAAACCAAAGAGGAUCAUGAGAAAGAGAAGUAGUCAGGGAAUCAGGUCAGAGACAAGGAAACAAACAAAGGAUUGGAAGGCUCAUGGAUUCAUAGCAACCAAAACUUCAAGUAGUUUAGAUAUUAUGCCUGCCUAGAUUCAGAGCCCCUGCUCUUCCCACUGUAUUAUAUUUCUCUAUGAGAAAUUUUUAAAAUGGAAAUGAGGGAAAAGUGAGUUAGAGGAAGAGGAUAGGAAAGCACUUAAUGAGAUUGAAAGCUACCAAAAUUAUCCUUUCUCUGUUGAAGCAGAAAUAACAAAGUCCCAACUUCAGGCACUGAACAAUGGAAGUCAUAUCUGAUCCUUGAAGAGGAUGGCUCUUCCUUUACCCUGAAUUGAAUCUAUGUUCAUCUGCCACCACUGUGCCAUUUAUCACUUCCAAUCACAUUCAAAGAAGUAGCGAUAUCUCAUUCCCAAGGUUCUGCAUCCCCCUGUUUAGCCUUUCCCACCCACAUGGGCUCUGCGGUUUUGAAGAUGUCUUGUUGGUUUUUCUGCAGCCUGGGACCAGGACACCACACGCUCAAUGGAUGUUGUAAGGAAUUACAGGUGAUGUUUGUGUCUUGUGAGUAUGGAUGUGGAGAUCAUACCCUUCAGUUAAGAAUAAUUCUAAUUCUACUAUCCACUAGUCUUUUUCAUAAAAUGGAGUUGCAAAGCCUCCCAAAGCUGUCUCCUGUUAGUGGUCAUUAUCCUUAUUGCAUUCUGUUUUUUCCACUAUUUAAAUGAAGACAUACUGCCCGGCAUCUCCCCCAGGCACAAGUUCUACUAGUAAUGACAAUUUUUUCAUUAAUACCAAUUGUAUACAUAAUCUUAUUGAGUUUCCACAAUAACCUAGAGAGAAAGAAACUGUGAUUACCUUUAGGUUUUAUAUGAGGAAACUGAGACUAUCGUGCCUUUGGAUUGAUCAGAGGCUGAAUUUAAAGAUAAGUGAACAUUGUUGGACAAACAAAAGACCUCCCAGCUCUCAAAACAAUAUCUACUGGAGGUAGGUGGAAGAGAAGGUGGGUAGAAUUAGGGUUUUCAAUGUGGACAAUAAUCAAGUACAAAGGAGACAGUUAUCUAUCCAGAUGGUUUAGACUAAUGAUUCCCAACAUGCUUCAUGUUGUGACAUGCUAAUUUUGUCUAAUUUUAUUAAUUCCCUGAAGCAAUAUGUGGGUUCUUAAAAGUAAUUAAAGUAGAAUUAAAUGUUAUGUUAAUUAAACAUGGCUUUAAAUGAAUUUGAGAUGAUGUGAAUUGGUUUUGCCCCUUGGGAUAACUGCAAAGUGCCUAUCCUGAUUUUGUGACAACUCAGAGUAUUAGGAACUGAAAUCUUCAGAAACUUGAAAGAGGUGACUGAGCCAGAAUAUCUAUCAGGUCCCUGAGUUUGCAUCUUAGAAGUUUUGUCCUAGUUGUCAUUUGGUACCUGUGGGAGGUAAUUCCAGUGUUAUGGUAAAGUUCAUUCUAGAGAUGAAUAAUCCUCCUCAGAUUUACCUUUCUUUUUAUCUUUUUCUUUUGGGCUGCUCCUUCUCCUUCAUGCUAUCACUAUAGUAAGGCAACUGGACCGCCAUGCUUUUUGGAUUCACUCCCCAUUUACCUCUCUGUCCUGCUUAGAUUUCUCCCACUUUCGGUUCCCAUGGCCAGGGUCCUGUCUAACCUAUUUUCCAAGCAUCAAAAGUGUCUUUACAAAUCUGUUCUGCAACUCCCACUACUGAUGACUUCUGUGAUAUUCCUCCUUUGGUCAAGUUGGUCUUCUUUCCUCCUCCUCUGUGACUUGGAAGCCUUUAGUUCCCACUAUACCAUAUCCAUAAGGAUUCAUUAUUCUUAACAUUGUCAGUUGGCCCUCUGCUCCAGAUCAUGCACAUGUCCUUCUACCCCUCACCUCCCACCUGACUGCUCUCAGCCUGUGCUAUAGACUCAGGGUGUUUGCCUGAUUCCCCUUGACCCCCAUCCUUGGGGUAGACACUUACUGGGCUGAGAUAGGCUGGUUUCAGUGCCCGUGCCAAGGUAGUCUGCAUGUUCCACUGCAUAAUCUGAGGACAAAUGUCUGGUAAAAUCUUUCAGAAUUCCAGUCAUUUCUCCUGUCCGCCUGUUCAAACUGAAGUUUCAUUUAAAGCCUUUGUGUUUACGAGAGGUUUGAUCAUAGAAGGCAAAUCUUCCCAGUAAUGUCAUUUAGCCUAUGUUUUUAUUUCUGCAUUUAAUAAAAUGCAGUCAAAUUCCAAAUUGUGUAUUUCACUCUUGCUUGAGCAUAUUGAUAGAAGCUGUUGUCAGCUAUGUGUUCUUCCUAUCAAUCAGUCUUUUCAAAGUUCUUUGUUAACAAUUAGUCAUCAGGGUUCAUCCAUACAUUGUUGUAUUACACAAUCAAUCAUUAAACUCAAGGGGAAAAAUGCUUAUUGAUGUGCAUAUUUUUCCCGAUAUAUUUUAAGUGAAAAGAGCAGGGUAAAAAACCGUAUUACAUUAUUAUUCUAUUACAAACACAUUUACACACACACACACACACACACACCCCCCAUGAAUAUAUUUUAAAUGGAAGAUUAAAAGGACACCAAAGUGCUAACAGUGAUUGUCUCUAGGUGCCAAGAUUGAUCAAUUUAUAUGUUCCCCUUCCUUCUCCAUAUUUUCCAAUUUCUCAAUAAUGAGUGUGUAAUUCUUUUAUAGUCAGGAAAAAGUAAUUUUAGAUAAUUCAAUUAGUUAUCAAGGUCAACCAGCAUGUGUGGAAAAGGUGACAAUUCUUACUGAAGAGAAAUUAACACCUUUAUUGUUAUGAAUUGAGGUUACUUUUUAAAGUAGGAACCUAUCUCUAAAAUUAAAAUGGAAGUGGAAACUUACUGAGUUUGAAAGAAUCAUUUUACAUAUCACUUUUCAAGUAAAACCAAUUUCUAUUUUGCUUUUUCUUCAAGUGCUUAAACAUUUUCUCUUCUGGGGCCCUUAUUUUAUGCUCCCCAAGAGAAAGGGCCAUGUCUCCUAUUUCCUUUGGCAUCUCCCACCCCCUCCCCACUCUCUUUCCUGUACUGCUAUACACCCAAGAAUAAGUCAGUGCACACGAUGUGCACGCAGAAAAUGUUUGUUAAUGGACUUGGUUAUUUCCGUUUUCUACUAAAUCUCAUCCUAGUCAUGUUUUCAGAAUCAUAGAACAUGGCUCCUUACUCCUCAGAAGCCUGGUAUCUCUCCCUACUGCUCUUGCUUAGUGCCCUGGGUCCCAGAACUCCACCCUUAGAUCUUCACUCUUGCAGUGUGAGGUAGACCCCAGCCAGUUCCGAGCUCCAGGGCCCUUGCAAGGAUGCCAGGUUUACGCCAGCCAUUUUCCCUGACUCAUGGGGGCUUGGCCAGCAGGUCAGUCACUACCCAGGAGGCCAGUCACUACCCAGUCUCGAACAUUCCUCCCUGAAUCAGAUGCUGCUGACUGGAUACCUCCAAGAAUCCCAGUGGGUUGACAGAAGUGUCAGCUUUAGGCCAAAGGAGUCUCUGGGAUGUCCUUGCCUUGGACAGAAGCUGGGGACCACACAGCCAGCUGACUCUGCUGCCCUGCCUUUGGGGUUAUAGCAUCUUGCCACUGGGCCCCCCAAACUAUCCUUUCCCUCAAUACCUGCUCAUUUGCUCAGGUCCCCGGAUCCAGCCUAGGGACUGUCUCGGCAGGGUCCUUCUAUCAGAGAGCCCAGGACCAGAUGCUGCUCUGAGCACCACCACCCAGAGCAGCACCAGGGAGGGAUGCCCAGCCCAGAAUAGCUGGAGCAGCCCCCCUGCCCCCACCCCCUGCCGACCAGGGAAGCUGACUGAGCUCACCCUGAGUGUGCUGGGGGGCAGAGGAGACCAUGCAGAUGUGCUGAGAGCUCCCUGGAAAGCAAGGCUCAGCUUCUUCUGCUACUGUCACCAGCAGAUGGAGAGAGGGGUCAGUAUUUAUCCUCUUGUAACACCUGAGGGGACAGAGUUGCUGACAUGUCUCAUAGAGUCCUUGUCCCCCACCUCCCUCACCCAUUGCCCACACUCCCUCAUCCUCUCACUUCAAGAGGCCUUGUUACCCCCCUAAAGGCCUGGAUUAGGCUCCACUGGUUAAAAAUCUUGUUCUAACUCCAAGUCCCCUAGAAUGUCCAUACCUUUAAGGGCUGGCACUGGUGCAGCAGGACUGAGGUAGAGACCCCAGAGAUUCACUUACAUAGCUGUUUCCAGUAGCCAAAUGACCAGGGACCACUAUUUAUGAGACAAUAGGAUAUCCCUUUCCUGAGAACAUGUUGGCCAAGCAGCAGAAGUGGGUGUGUUGUCCCUGAGGCUGAAUUUGGUGGUCUUGAGACCUAGCAUAGUGAGGCCAAACACUGACUUGGAUGGGUGCUGAGCCUGUGAAGGAAAAAACUCUACCAGAGAAACCUGACUGGGUUCGCUUUGUUUGUACAGAUCUAGUGGAGUUCCCCUUAAGCCUGAGAGGCCACUGGAGCCUGAGAGGCCACUGGAGACCAAGUCUGGUUAUACGCUGUAGAAGCUGGGUAAAUACCAUUUGGAGCACAGGUCUGCAGCAGAUCCAGAGUAAAUAAAACCUGAUACCUGCAUUGGACAUCUAAAAAAUGUUGAAUCUGGCAAGCUAUAAAUGAUAACAUGAAACAGUUAUUGAGUGUGUGCGAUGUCUGGAUACUAUUCUAACCAAUGUGAAUGCAUCAUCGCAUUUAAACCUCGCAGCAAAUUUAAGAAGAAAAAAAUCUUCCAUGUCCUUGAGCCAGUUACCAGAGAAGAGCAGAAAUCCAGGGAGGACAAGGGAUUGACCUGGGUAGUAUUGAGCUGGAAGGUAAAAGCAAUGAACAAAAAGAGGUUCAGAUUCCUUAUUUUGGAGCGACAGUGUCAACAAGAAACAUCUGCCAAACCACAAGGACCAUGUAGAAGCUGGUGUCCCAGGAGAUUAUUGCAGAAACCCUCAUGCUCCUAAACGACCAUAAGAAACUGAGCUCAAAUUUGAAGGCAUCACUUGUAUCCUGUGAAAGAGAAACCAAAGAAUGACCAAACCCCUCAGAAAUUAUGUAGCUCCUGGCUGAUCGUCACCUGCUGAUUCCUCUAACCAUGCUUGGGGCAAAGGAGAUCUUCAGCAUUUCACCCAUCUCCCCCAAUUAUUUCUCCUGGAAAGACUGAGGCAUUUAGCUUCUUGGACUUCUCUCCAUAUAAAUGGCCACUCAUGGGCCAACUAACUGUGUGGUGUUCAAGACAAACAAUAUACAUCAUGUAAUAAAGAAUCAUUCUCCCCUGAGGGAAUCUGAGACUAAUUGAAAGGUUACUGUGUAAUAGGCUCCAUUUUCUUAAUCAUAUCUUGUGUUUGUGCAAAUGUUAAAAAAAAAGCCUCCCACCAAUGUAUUUUUAUCCAAAUGCUGCUCAAUUCUAUUAUAAUAAUUUUAUUGUCCUAACAUCCCUGUGAAAUCAGUAAACCAGUGAUGGAACAAACAGCUCUGCGUUGGUUUGAAUCAGGCACUAUGUUCAGGUUCCCAAAUUAGAAGGAGCAGUGGUCAGAUUGUCUGAAGAGAUGGACACUGGCCGUGGCACUAACUGGUUAUCUAACCAUUGUCUAAUAAUGGUCCUCAUUUCCUCUUUUGUAAAUCAAGAGAUUGGAGAGACAAUUUGCAGAAGUUUUUUUCCACUUCUAAGAUUCAAUGAGUCAAAGUUUGGAGACUUAUUUCAGAGGCAACCAGCUAUGUACAAAAUAUAGCAUUACAAAAUAGAAAAUAUGUUGGCUUUGUAGCAAAAAUACUUGGGCCUGAAUCUUGGAUUUACCACUAACUAGUAGUGUUACUUUGGCCGAGUCACCCUCUCUAAUCCUCACCUUUCCUCUAUAAAAUGGAAAUAAAAAGCCCUUAUAUGCUUAUUGCGAUGAUUAAAUAAGAAAACAUACAUAAAGCAAAUGGCAUGUGACGGAUUCUCAAUAAAUGGUAGCCACACUUAACUGCUUCAUAGGCCAACUGGAGCAUUGUCUCCAGAACAUAUUUGUACAUUUCUUACCUAUAAAUAUUCUUUCUAUAUCUAAAAAUAAACAUGGAUCUUCUCCACUUUUUCAAUUAAAGAAUGGAUUAUCAAGAGUGUAAUUACUAUAUUAACAACUCGAUUUUACAUAUGAGGAAAAUGAAGUUUAUAUGACUAGUCCGAAGUCACACAGAGAGUUAAUGACAGAGCUGUCUAGGAUCCAGGUCAUCAAAUCCCAGGAUGGUAUAUUUUACACACCCAACUGAUACUCUUUCCAAUAGGCCAUGUUGCUAUUAACAGUUUGUGGUGUCAGACAAAAAUAAUAAUGAUUUUUAUACACUAUAUUAGCUAAGUCUAUUAAGAACAGAAAAACAGAAUACUGGAAAUCUGAGUAACUCAAGCUAAAACACUUUUUCUAAAUUUCAAGACAAAAUAACUAAACAAACAGAAACAUUUGAGUAAUCGAGGGAGCAGCAAGACAGAUGAAUGUCACUAUUUGUCUCCCCAUAUCUACCUUUGUCUCCCUUCAAGUUAGUCUGAUCAUCUGAAUGAAGGGUACCACUGUUUAGCCAGAAACCUACAAGAAAUCCUUAAUAGCUUUAUAUCUCCUUCUAUUUCACCUCCUCCCUUACCUAAAUGUAACCAAGUCCUUCUAAUUCUAUCUUCUAAAUUCCUCUUAAUUCUGGUCAAUUCUUUGUACCUCGCUUUAACAGGUCAUAAUCUUUUCUCACCUGGACUACUACAACAACCUGUUACUUCGUCUCCAUUUUUUGGCUGUUCUUACUACCUAAAAAUCAAUUAUGUAUAGCUAGUUGAUCUUUUUAGAUGUAAACAAGAAUAUGUACCAAAACUUGAAAUUUUAUGUAGUAAAAUUUUAUUUGUGUAACUUGUCUUGUACACCACUUUUCUUCGAGUUGCUAAUUAUCUCAUUUUUAUUUGACUAACUUGCUAUAUGUAUAUAUCUAUUUUUCCACAAAUGCUAUCAGAUGUUAUGACUACAAAUAUAUUUUUCAAAAUAAUAAAAUAUGCAAAAUUAAUUUAUUCAAAAACU
rnacentral:lncRNA from 1 species